rnacentral:rRNA from 1 species
UACGGGGGGAGCAAGCGUUAAUCGGAAUUACUGGGCGUAAAGCGUGCGCAGGCGGUUGUGCAAGACAGAUGUGAAAUCCCCGGGCUUAACCUGGGAACUGCAUUUGUGACUGCACGGCUGGAGUGCGGCAGAGGGGGAUGGAAUUCCGCGUGUAGCAGUGAAAUGCGUAGAUAUGCGGAGGAACACCGAUGGCGAAGGCAAUCCCCUGGGCCUGCACUGACGCUCAUGCACGAAAGCGUGGGGAGCAAACAGG